rnacentral:rRNA from 1 species
CAUGUAGGUGGCAUAGUAAGUCAGAAGUGAAAUUUUCGGGCUCAACCUGGAAGCAGCAUCUGAAACUACUAAGCUAGAGGGUAGACGGAGAAAAUGGAAUUUCACAUGUAGCGGUGGAAUGCGUAGAUAUGUGAAGGAACACCAGUGGCGAAAGCGGUUUUCUAGUUUAUACCUGACACUGAGAUGCGAAAGCAAGGGGAGCAAACA